rnacentral:lncRNA from 1 species
CAAGACUUGACUAAACAAAAAAAAGUGCUCUUAAAUUUACAGUUUUUAAAUUAAAUUUUAUUGCAUACUAUGGUAGUCAACAAAUGUCCUGAGUGAGUCUACAUUUUAAAAAAUAUAGUAAGAAAAUAAGCCCUAUAUCAAGGAAUCUUGGUAGAAUUUUGAUAUGUAAUAGGAACAGGUGGAGUUCCUCAAUGAGUGAUCCUAUAUAGAUUAUAGAAGGUUAGAUUAUAAAAGAUAUAGUCUCUAACUUCUGAAAUGGCUUGAUUUCCACUGAGGAGAAUAAAUGAGAUACAAUUCAAAAUUUUUAAUCCCUAGAGAAAAAGAUGGCUUUCAAGUAAGGAAAUGUUCCAAAAUGUUUUCCAUCAAGAAUCAUUCCAGACAAAUGAGCAGCUCAUUUUGUUCUCAAAGACACAAGCAAUGUGUGUUCUUAGUCUCUUUUGAUAUGUGUUGAAAAGUACUCUUUUAUAAAUAUGGACAUUAUUGCUACUGCCAUUUUAGAUGGUUUUUUCUUGUUUGGUCUCUAAAGAUGGAGACCCUUUGGUUAGCAACUUUCUCAUAAGUCAAGCUAAUGUAUUCACAGUUCCGCUUUUUAUUCUUCAAUUGAAGCACAUAUACUGGAGCCUAGCCAUAGUACUCUUUCACCUACACUAUGGAUCUGCUGCUUGGACCCCAAAGACAAUGAUAUGGAAAGACUCCAGCUUAAUUAUAUUCUCUUUUGUCUCCUAUAUAAAUAGCUUUUAGAAAUGUAGAUUAUUCUUUUGAAAUCCAUGGUAACAAAUGUGAAUACUAUGAAUUUUGAUUUGAAGAGCAAAGGAAUGUUGAGACCCAGGAUCUAAAAAGUUAUUCCUAAUUUUCUUUUCCUUAAUAAAAUAUUUAACGUUUUUAAAAAAAACAUUGAUUGAAUAGUUACCAUAUCAAUAGAUUGGUCUUAGAGAAAAGACAGUUAGAUGAAGAUGUCCAUAAUAUGUGACUUUAAAAAUUAAGCUAAUCAUAGAAAUCUUAAAAGCAGAAUAAAGGUGGUUUAUUUUGAAAGAGAAAAAAAAAACCUAUCACCUGUACACUUGUUUUGAAUCACUAAAAAUUCUGUGAGUCAGCUCCUUAAAUAUAUUUAUUAAAAAUAAUUUGGAGGUAGCAAUAAGAGGAAAAUUUGUUUACUGUUUACCAGGAAUAAAACCAGAGGUAUAGGUCUUAUUUUUAGUAUUAAGAUAUAGCUGUAUAAAAAAAAUGCCUUAAAGAUAAAUAAUGGAAUGAGGAGCCAUAGAAUAAGAAUGUGACUAAAGACAAUUUAGAUUGGAAAAAAAAGCAAUUAAUUUAGAGUGUACGAAUUUGUUUUAAUUCAUCUGGGGUUGUAUUGCACCUCUAUAAAGAAAGGGUACUAAAUAUAUUAGGAUAGAAGGGUAGAGAUCAGACUUUAUAAGAAUUUCCAAUGUAUUUGCUAUUUGCAAAUGAUAUUCAUAAUCUUUAGCAUACAUGCAAAAUUGUCCUCUCAGAUUCUUUGCUUUGUAAUGGCAGUUGUUAUUUGUUCUUACAUAUAUUGAUCUAUUUUCAAACAUAUAUUCUACAAUUCUUCAUGAAUUAGAGAUCAGUUUGUUGCAUUCUGAGAAGUUAGUAAAUUUUUAUUGUAUUUCUAGUCAAAUGUUGAGUUCCUUUGGAAGAGUAUGCACCACCUUAAACUUUCUCUGGAAAUUCUGGAUUCUAGCACUUUUAACGUAAAUAUUUUUAAUUUAUUUGCAUAUGACCAAAUGAGAUAGCCUUGGUAGGUAUUUG